UACAGAGGGGGCAAGCGUUGUUCGGAAUUACUGGGCGUAAAGGGCGCGUAGGCGGUCUUUUAAGUCUUGUGUGAAAUCCCUCGGCUCAACUGAGGAACUGCACGGGAUACUGGCAGGCUUGAGUUCGGGAGAGGGAAGCGGAAUUCCGGGUGUAGCGGUGAAAUGCGUAGAUAUCCGGAGGAACACCGGUGGCGAAGGCGGCUUCCUGGGCCGAUUACUGACGCUGAGGCGCGAAAGCUAGGGGAGCAAACGGG
rnacentral:rRNA from 1 species